rnacentral:rRNA from 1 species
GAUGAACGCUGGCGGCGUGCCUAAUACAUGCAAGUCGAGCGAACGGACGAGAAGCUUGCUUCUCUGAUGUUAGCGGCGGACGGGUGAGUAACACGUGGAUAACCUACCUAUAAGACUGGGAUAACUUCGGGAAACCGGAGCUAAUACCGGAUGAUAUUUUGAACCGCAUGGUUCAAAAGUGAAAGACGGUCUUUCUGUCACUUAUAGAUGGAUCCGCGCUGCAUUAGCUAGUUGGUAAGGUAACGGCUUACCAAGGCAACGAUGCAUAGCCGACCUGAGAGGGUGAUCGGCCACACUGGAACUGAGACACGGUCCAGACUCCUACGGGAGGCAGCAGUAGGGAAUCUUCCGCAAUGGGCGAAAGCCUGACGGAGCAACGCCGCGUGAGUGAUGAAGGUCUUCGGAUCGUAAAACUCUGUUAUUAGGGAAGAACAUAUGUGUAAGUACCUGUGCACAUCUUGACGGUACCCAAUCAGAAAGCCACGGCUAACUACGUG